CGACCAAGGUCGGGUAAGCCAUUUCAGGAUGCAGUGAAAGAAGAUUGCGCACAAACAUAAAAUGGCAUGGUCUGAAGAAUGAUGUGGAUGAGGCUUUGGUCACUAUGGUCAUUGAGGAUUCCCAGCCCUUCACCAUUGUGGAGGACAAAGGGUUCAGGAAGCCUACCUAUGUUCUCCCCACUAGGCAGGCUUUGAAAGCCAUGGUUGAAGAGGGGUACAAGGAGUCCAUGGAGAAAUCCAAAGCCAUUGUGUUGAAAACUUCGGCAUUUGCAUUGACUUCAGACAUGUGGACCUCACUCAACACAGAUGCCUACUUACCUGUAACAUGCCAUUUCAUAGAUGAAACCACCUCAUUGUGUUGUGUAAGGGGUGCUUCAUUUCCCUGCAGCGCAUACUGCAGCAAAUAUGGGGGCUUGCGCCAGAGAGCUUCAUUUGCGUCACACAAUUUGUGUGUUUACUCAUUAAAAAGGCUCCUCACCAAAACUGUUGUCUGAGAUCCGUGCUACCUCUAGACGGAUAGUGGGCUAUUUCAAGCGCAGCACCACAGCAAAGGAGAAGCUGACACAGGUGCAGGAGCCAAUGGGCCGGCCAGUACUGAAGCUCAUUCAAGAGGUGGAUACACGCUGGAAAAGCACAUAUCAUAUGCUCCAGCGCGUUUAUGACCUUAGGGAACCUGUAGGAGCAGCUUUGGCCAGCCUACACACUGAUGUUGCCCCACUGUCAUCAGAACAGUAACCCAUUAUUACAGCAUGUCUGAAAGUGCUGGCCCCAUUUCAUGCUGCCACAGUUGAGCUGUCAGAGGAGAGGAGAGUGUCUGGAUCAAAGGUCAUUCAACUUUUAUCCAUGUUACACCACUCACUGGAGGAUGAAAUGGGAAUUGUCCAGACUCCAGAGAGCACAGAAAUGGCUGAGAGUCUGAGGAAACAGUUAAAGGAGAAGUUGCAAACUCUACAAUCAAUGAGCAUAAUGUCACUGGCAACCCUGCUGGAUCCUAGAUUUAAAGAUGGGCUUCUUUAGUUCUAACAAAGCAGCAGAUGCCGUGACAAGGCUCACUACUGAAUGUAUUGGUGUUAUGGAAAAAAGCGCCUCUUCCUCCUCAUCACAACCGCACAUCAGAAGCUUCUCAGCCUGUGACUCAGGUAGCAAACUGUGGCAGCGGUUACACCAAAGUUCUGCAGACGAGGACACAAAAUGUCACGACGGAUGCAGCAGAAGAGGUCCAGCAGUACCUGGCUGAACCAAAUAUUGGAAGAAUGGAGAAUCCCCUGGAGUAUUGGCAAACUUGUACAAACUAGCAGUUUCUUUGCUUUGCUCCCCUGCUCCAUCUGUGCCCUGUGAAAGGAUAUUUUCUAAAGCAGGUGAAAUUAUUUCUAAAAAACAAAACCGCCUGAAGCCGAGCACUGAUGAGAAGCUGUUA